AAACCAGCACCUCAAGUGGUCAGGAUGAUUAUUGGGCCUAAAGCAUCCGUAGCCUGUUCUGUAAGUUUUCGGUUAAAUCUGUAUGCUCAACAUACAGGCCGCCGGGAAUACUGCAGGACUAGGGAGUGGGAGAGGUAGACGGUACUCGGGAGGAAGUGGUAAAAUGCUUUGAUCUCUCGAUGACCACCUGUGGCGAAGGCGGUCUACCAGAACACGUCCGACGGUGAGGGAUGAAAGCUGGGGGAGCAAACCGGAUUAGAAACCCCGGUAGUCC
rnacentral:rRNA from 1 species